rnacentral:rRNA from 1 species
GACGAACGCUGGCGGCGUGCCUAACACAUGCAAGUCGAACGAAGUGGCGAACGGGUGAGUAACGCGUAAUCAACCGGCCCUUCAGAGGGGGACAACAGUUGGAAACGACUGCUAAUACCGCAUACUGAAGGAGGGGAUUGCGUUUGAUUGGCUAGUUGGAGGGGUAACGGCCCACCAAGGCGAUGAUCAGUAGCCGGUCUGAGAGGGUGAACGGCCACAUUGGGACUGAGACACGGCCCAGACUCCUACGGGAGGCAGCAGUGGGGAAUCUUCCGCAAUGGACGAAAGUCUGACGGAGCAACGCCGCGUGAGUGAUGACGGCCUUCGGGUUGUAAAGCUCUGUUAAUCGGGACGCGGUACCGGAAUAGAAAGCCACGGCUAACUACGUGCCAGCAGCCGCGGUAAUAC